ensembl:snRNA LOC120097311 U6 spliceosomal RNA
GUGCUCACUUCAGCAGCACACACACUAAAACUGGAACGAUACAGAGUAGAUUAGCAUGGCCCCUGCAAGGCCAACAUGCAGAUUCGUGAAGACUUCCUUAUUUUU